GCAGACACAUUCCAGCCAAUCAGCAGCAGACCCUCCCUCCCAGACCUUCCCACCUCCUGGACAGCAUCCAUUGUGAAGCUGCAUUCUUAGUGAGCUGUCCAGGAGGUGGGAGGGUCUGGGAGGGAGGGUCUGCUGCUGAUUGGCUGGAAUGUGAGG